rnacentral:lncRNA from 1 species
AUUUUUUUAACCUAUCAUUUACCAUGUGUUGGGCAUAAAACUUCUAAUUAACACAGAGCACAUGCUGGCCUAAGGAAACAUUACCUGAGAAUAUCAUAACUGGCAAAGUCCCACUGGUACAGACCCAGGGCUGAACUACAGACAAUGUAUUUUCCAUCAAAAUGAAGUCUUGGCUGCAGGCAGAUACUUCUAUCCUCAGAGACAGACAGUGUCUUCAAGCACUUACAGUUGAUUUCUCUCCCAAUUGGCCAAAUCUAAAAAGGGGGGAUGGUGAUUACUAAAGAAAAGUUGGUGUUUAUACAAUGUGGCUUGAAGAAAGAAAGACAAAAGUGGCACCUGUUAAUAGACAAAAAGGGAAUAGUGCCAGGACUUCUGUUUUAGUCAAGAGUCACAGGCUUAAGUCCUGAGUCUAUAUGGUCUUAGGUAAACUAUUUAACCUUUCUAAAUAAAGAUAAUGCCCACUACAAAGAAAGUUUUAAAAUGCAAAAAAAAAAAAAAAAAAAAAAAAAAAAAACCAAACAAACCAUGAAUGUCCUAUAAAUUAUUAGCAAACUGUUAAAGCAAAUCAAAGUUUAUAUCUAAAAAAUGAGGAAGGUAUGAGGCAUGAGCCUUAAGAGUCUUAGUGCUUAAGUUGUGAGGCAGGAGGAUUACAAGUUCAGUCUGGGCUACAUGGCUGAGCCCUCUGAAAAUACAAAAAGAAACAGUAGAAUGUGUGGAAAACAAUUUUCUGUGUUUGCUCUUGUGUGUGUACAUGCCAGUGUUUGUGCACAGUUAUGAGUUCAUAUGGAAGUCUAGGUGGAUGUCAGGUGGCUUCCUCAAUCACUCUCACCCUAUUUUCUAAAAUAGGAUCUCUCACGGAAUUGCAGCUCAAUUUGCUUACAUUAUCUGGCCAGCAAGUCUCAGGGAUCCUCUUAUCUCUGCCUCCUCAGCACCAUUCCUAGCCUUUUUAAUGGGUGUUGGAAAUCUAAACUCGGGUACUAACUCUUACUAGCCUCCUUGAUUUAUUUCCUUUACAAACCACAGAAACUGCUCAGCAUACAGACAGAUGAAUCAUACCAUUUCCAAUGGGUGUAAGAUGACUUGAACUGCCAGGUGUUGCUGGCACCUGCCUUUAAGGGAAGAAGACAGGUGGAUGUCUGAGUUUGAGGCCAGCCUGGUCUACAGAGUGAGUUCCAGGACAACCAGCCAGGGAUACACAAAGGAACCUAGUUUCAGGAAAGGGGGGGGGGGAGACUUCGCCCUGGCAGUAGUCUCCCUUUUUAGUUCUUAUAUGUAUUCUUUUUUCUUUAAUGAGAUAAAUUACAGAGGAAGAAAACUUACCUUGAUCUCAUAUUUGUCUGCACUUAAGAGGAUGUAGUCUCCAGGGCUGUGCAAGAGAGACUUGACUUUGCACUUCUGCAAAACCACCUACAAGCAUAAACAUUUUUACAUUAUACAAAGAACCUUUCACUCUGUUCCUGUACUAAUUUUAUAUUGUUUUUAAAUUGAAAUAUGAAAAUUAGCUUAAGUUCUUAUUGUAUACUAGAAUAUAUAACAUGAAACUUUAGGUUUAACUUCUAACAUUUUUACUACACCCAAAUUCUGUUAAUAGAUGUGGGAACAUUUUUUUUCUUUCUUUUUUCUUUUCUUUUCGAGAAGGGUUUCUCUGUGUAGCCCUGGUCUACAGAGUGAGUUCCAGGACAGCCAAGGCUACACAGAGAAACCCUGUCUCAAAAAACCAAAAAAAACAAAACAAAACAAAAAAAAAACCUUUCAAGUUCUAACUUGCUGGAAUGAUACAGAUGGCAGCUGGCAAGAUGACUCAGCAGGGGAAGGUGUUUGCUGCUCCACCUUAGUGUUAAUGAGUUCAGUCCCUGAAACCAUGGAAAGGCAGGAGGAGUGAUCCAGCUCCACAAAGUUGUCAUUUGACCUUUACACACACAGAGACACACACUUGGAAUUUUUUUUAAGGUUUUGGCAUAUAGUUGUUUUCCCUGUAUGGAUGUCUGUGUACCAAUGCCUGUGAAAGCCAGAAAGGGGUGUUGGAUCCCCUUGUUACAGAUAUUGUGAGCUACUGUGUGGGUGCUGGGAAUUGAACCCAGGUCUUCUACAAAAGCAGCAAGUGCUCUCAACCACUGAGCCACAUCUCCAUCUGGCAAAUAAACAAGGGGUUGGGGGAGGAAGGGAGAAAGAAAUCUAAAAUAUGAGUAAGUUAAUGUGCUCAAAACUUAAACUUUGAGGGCUUGAUAGCUCAGGGGUCUUGCUGCUGCUCCUGCAGAGACCUGGGGUUCAGCUCACAACUGUAGUCCUAGGAGAUCUGACACUCUUCUGGCUCCUACAAGCACUGGGAUCACAUGGUGUACAAACAGACAUACAGGCAAAACACCCACACACAUAAGAUACAAAUAAAAAAUAAUUUUAAAAGUUUCACUCUUCUAGCUAGGAAGUUACUCCUGUAUUUUUCUCUGUUGUCUUGGUUACUCUUAAAAGCUCUCACCCUGUGUUUUCAAAUACAUCGGGAAUCUCCACUUAGAUAUCCAACAAGUAAAUAAAUUUAGUUGAUCCCAAAUUGAACUUCUUUUAUUAUCUCAAAUCCACUGUCAUUUUCUAACCUUGCUUUUAGUACUACUAUCCUCCUAGGACAGAGCUGGAAACCCCAGCCAUUUCUGACAAUAGUCAAUUCACUAUCAAGUUCUGUCCAGUGUAACAGCUGCUCUUACAUUCAAACAUUCCUUUUUAAUUUUUUAAAAUUACACUUCUCCUUAGUACCUUAUUUCUAGACUGAUUUAACCUGACCUAAGCUGUAUUGGGUUAAGACUUUUAACUUGGGGUUGGAGAGAUGGCUUAGUGGUUAAGAGCACCAACUGCUAUUCCAAAGGUCCUGAGCUCAAAUCCCAGCAACCACACGGUGGCUCACAACCAUCUGUAACAACUGCUAUUCCAAAGGUCCUGAGCUCAAAUCCCAGCAACCACACGGUGGCUCACAACCAUCUGUAAUGAGAUCUGACGCCUUAUUCUGAAGACAGCUACAAUGUACUUACUAAGUCUUUUUU